AAAAAAGAAAAGAAAAAAAAAAAGAUCUGAUAGUUGAAAGGUGUGUGGUGGUCUCCCCCCUGCCCUCUGCCACCUCUCCUGCUGCAAUGUAAGACGUGCCCUGCUUCCCAUUUCACCAUGAUUGUAAGUUUCCUGAGGCAUCCCCACCCAUGUGAAACUGUGAGUCAAUUAAAGCUUUUUUUUUUUUUUUCCAGAGUCUCCCUCUGUCGCCCAGGCUGGAGCGGAGUGGCGUGAUCUCGGCUCACUGCAACCUCCGCCCCCGGGUUUAAGCAAUUCUCCUGCCUCAGCCUCCAGAGGAGCUGUGAUUACACAUGCUUGCCACCACGCCCGGCUAAUUUUUGUAUUUUCAGUAGAGAUGGGGUUUCACCACGUUAGCCAGGCUGGUCUCGAACUCCUGACCUCGUGAUCAGCCCAACUCGGCCUCCCGAAUUGCUAGGAUUAUAGGCGUGAGCCACCACACCCUACCAAGCUUUUUCCUUUAUAAAUUACCCAGUCACAGGUAGUUAUUAUUUUUUUUUUUUUGAGACAGAGUCUUGCUCUGUUGCCCAGGCUGGAGUGCCAUGGUGUGAUCUCAGCUACUGCAACCUCGGCUUCCUAGAUUCAAGCCAUUCUCCUGCCUCAGCUUCCCAAGUAGCUAGGAUUACAAGCAUGCGCCACCACGCCCAGCUAAUUUUUGUAUAUUUAGUAGAGAUGGAGUUUCAUUCACCAUGUUGGCCAGAUUGGUGUUGAACUGACCUCAGGUGAUCCACCCACCUUGACCUCCCAAACUGCUGGGAUCAUAGGCAUGAGCCACUGCACUCAGCCUCACGUAGUUCUUUGUUGUUGUUGUUUUGUUGCUGUUGUUGUUUUUUCAGACGAAGUCUCACUCUUGUCCCCCAAGCUGGAGUACAAUGGCGCGAUCUCGGCUCACUGCAACCUCCGCCUCCCGGGUUCAAGCAAUUCUCCUGCCUCAGCCUCCCGAGUAGCUGGGAUUAUAGGCGCCUGCCACCAUGCCCGGCUAAUUUUUGUAUUUUAAGUAGAGACGGGGGUUUCACCAUUUUGGCCAGGCUGGUCUCGAACUCCUGACCUCAGGUGAUCCGCCCGCCUCGGCCUCCCAAAGUGCUGGGAUUACAAGUGUGAGCCACCGUGCCCGGCCGGCCUCAGGUAGUUCUUUAUAGCAGUGUGAAAAUGGAGUAAUAGAGAGCUGAGGCAGGAGGAUCACCUGAGGCCAGGAGGUGAGGCUGCAUGAGCUGUGACUGCACCACUGCACUCCAGCCUGGGUGACAAAGUGAGACCCUAUCUCAAAAAAACAAAACAAAAGACAUAUUUAUUUUAAAAAUAAAUAAAUAAACUUUGUAGGACUUUGUUUAGACAUGUUUACCAUAUGACAUAUGUGUCUUUAGAACAGCGUCCAGCAUCUUGUAGAAGGACAAUCAUUACAAAGUUCAAGCACGUUCUGCUUUAAACACACCUAUUGUGCCACACUAAAAUCUGAAUUUGUGAAUAAAUGAACUAAAACAAUCAUAUUAUAAAACUACACAGGACUUUAAAGCGUCAUGUAGGAUGUGACUUUUUUAUUACAGGCUCCCAUAAUGUAUUUAGAAAUAUGACUCAGGAUCUAUCCAUGAUAACAGUCAGUAUAGGAUAAACAAGUUAGUAAUUUAUGUUUAAUAAUGUAUUCUAUUUAUUUUAUUUUAUUUUAUUUUUUGAGCUGGAGUCUCACUCUGUUGCCCAGGCUGGAGUGCAGUGGCACGAUCUCAGCUCACUGCAAGCUCCGCCUCCCGGAUUCAAGCGAUUCUCCUGCCUCAGCCUCCCGAGUAGCUGGGACUACAGAUGGAGUUUCGCUCUUGUUGCCAGGCUGGAGUACAGUGGCCUGAUCUCGGCUCACUGCAACCUCUGCCUCCUGGGUUUAAGCAAUUCUCCUGCCUUAGCUUCCUCCUGAGUAGCUUGGAUUACAGGCAUGCGUCACCAUGCCCGGCUAAUAUUGUAUUUUAAUAGAGACGGGAUUUCACCAUGUUGGCCAGGCUGGUCUCGAAGUCCUGACCUCAAGUGAUCCGCCCGCCUCAUCCUCUCAAAGUGCUGGGGUUACAGGCAUUAGCCCUCACGCCUGGCCAAAUGCAGUCUUUUCACCACCUUUUUGGAUCACAGAAAAUGACCAUGAAGCUAUGGAAAAAAGGGAGAGUUGAAUUUAAGAUUAGCUGUCAGCCCAUCUUUCAUUAGCCAUUUCUCUAAUCCAGUCUUGAAUUUUCCUCUUUCUAGUAAUAUGGAGGGUAGCACUAUGUUCAAAGCGGCCACUGGGGAUUUAGGUAUUUUAAUAUCUGUACUAUGUUUCUAGAUAAGUAAAAUAACCAGGUGAAUUUAUCAGCCCACAGUGAACCUGGGGAACAGUUUAUUGAACUAGUGCCCUUAAGUAGAGGACAUUCUCAACAUUGCUAAGUUUAUCUCCCAUUCCCUAUAUCAUGGAAUGAGAGAAAUUUGGAGAAAAAAUUUCUAUUUCCUAAUCUCAGCUUUUUUUUUUUUUUUUUUUCCGAGACAGAGUAUCGAGCUGUCGCCCAGGCUGGAGUGCAAUGGCAUGAUCUUGGCUCACUGCAACCUCUGCCUCCCGCGUUCUAAGUGAUUCUCCUUCCUCAGCCUCCCGAAUAGCUGGGAUUAUAGGCACGCACCAUCAUGCAUGGCUAAUUUUGUAUUUUUAGUAGAGAUGGGGUUUCCCCAUGUUGGCCAGGCUGGUCUCGAACUCCUGAUCUCAGGUUAUCCACCCGCCUCAGCCUCUCCAAGUGCUGGGAUUACAAGUGUGAGCCACCGCACCCCGCCCUAAUCUCAGCCUUUUUAUAUCUUCUUGGUAGGCCCACUUUUUGGCAUCCCCUAACAAGAAGUCCUCAGAGAUUUUUACUACUCAACAUGUGUGCGUCCCACUCAGAUGUAUUGUGUUCUUUCUGUUCACCCUCUACUUCCCAUUCCAUUUCUUCCUCUGACUUAGGGUUAGAAUGGCCCAAUGAUCCUACAACUUUUUGAUGCUAUUUCAUUUGAUUCCUCUACUGUCUAAAUCACAAGUUGGCUAACUUUACUUACUGUAAGGGAUCAGAUAGCAAAUAGUUUAGGCCUUGUGGGCCAUUCAAUCUGUCAUAACUACCCACUCUGACCAUAUGUAGUGCAAAAGCAGCCCUUGACAAUAUAUAAAUGAAUGAACGUGAAUGUAUUUCAAUAAAGCUUUACUUGUGGACACUGAAAUUUGAAUUUUAUAUCAUU
rnacentral:lncRNA from 1 species